rnacentral:rRNA from 1 species
AUACGUAGGGGGCGAGCGUUGUCCGGAUUUAUUGGGCGUAAAGGGUGCGUAGGCGGCCUUGUAAGUCAGAUGUGAAAGAUCAUGGCUUAACUGUGGAAAGCAUUUGAAACUGCAGGGCUUGAGUACAGGAGAGGAGAGUGGAAUUCCUAGUGUAGCGGUGAAAUGCGUAGAUAUUAGGAGGAAUACCAGUGGCGAAGGCGACUCUCUGGACUGAUACUGACGCUGAGGCACGAAAGCGUGGGGAGCAAACAGGAUUAGAUACCCUGGUAGUCCACGCUAUAAACGAUGAGUGCUAGGUGUCGGGGGUCAAACCUCGGUGCCGCAGUUAACACAUUAAGCACUCCGCCUGGGGAGUACGGCCGCAAGGCUGAAACUCAAAGGAAUUGGCGGGG